CCUACGGGCGGCUGCAGUGGGGAAUAUUGGACAAUGGGGGCAACCCUGAUCCAGCCAUGCCGCGUGUGUGAAGAAGGCCCUCGGGUUGUAAAGCACUUUCAGUGAGGAAGAACGCCUGGUGGUUAAUACCCAUCAGGAAAGACAUCACUCACAGAAGAAGCACCGGCUAACUCCUUGCCAGCAGCCGCGGUAAUACGGAGGGUGCGAGCGUUAAUCGGAAUUACUGGGCGUAAAGCGCGCGUAGGUGGCUUGAUAAGCCGGUUGUGAAAGCCCCGGGCUCAACCUGGGAACGGCAUCCGGAACUGUCAAGCUAGAGUGCAGAAGAGGAAGGUAGAAUUCCCGGUGUAGCGGUGAAAUGCGUAGAGAUCGGGAGGAAUACCAGUGGCGAAGGCGGCCUUCUGGACUGACACUGACACUGAGGUGCGAAAGCGUGGGUAGCAAACAGGAUUAGAUACCCUAGUAGUC
rnacentral:rRNA from 1 species